UUGGAGGGCAAGUCUGGUGCCAGCAGCCGCGGUAAUUCCAGCUCCAAUAGCGUAUAUUAAAGUUGUUGCAGUUAAAAAGCUCGUAGUUGAAUUUCAGGAUUGACGUGAUGGUCGUGCCUUACGGGGUAUGAACUGUUGCUGUUGAUUUCUCACCUUCUGGAGAAACUUGAUGUCCUUAAUUGGGUGUCUUGCGGAUCCAGGACCUUUACCUUGAAAAAAUUAGAGUGUUUAAAGCAGGCAUUUUUGCUCGAAUACAUUAGCAUGGAAUAAUAGAAUAGGACGGCGUGGUUCUAUUUUGUUGGUUUCUAGGAUCACCGUAAUGAUUAAUAGGGAUAGUUGGGGCAUUAGUAUUCAAUUGUCAGAGGUGAAAUUCUUGGAUUUAUUGAAGACUAACUACUGCGAAAGCAUUUGCCAAGGAUGUUUUCAUUAAUCAAGAACGAAAGUUAGGGGAUCGAAGACGAUCAGAUACCGUCGUAGUCUUAACCAUAAACUAUGCCGACUAGGAAUCAGACGAUGUUAAUUUUUUAAUGACUCGUUUGGCACCUUACGGGAAACCAAAGUGUUUGGGUUC
rnacentral:rRNA from 1 species